UAUUAACUCUGGCGGCGUGCCUAAUACAUGCAAGUCGAGCGAACGGACGAGAAGCUUGCUUCUCUGAUGUUAGCGGCGGACGGGUGAGUAACACGUGGAUAACCUACCUAUAAGACUGGGAUAACUUCGGGAAACCGGAGCUAAUACCGGAUAAUAUUUUGAACCGCAUGGUUCAAAAGUGAAAGACGGUCUUGCUGUCACUUAUAGAUGGAUCCGCGCUGCAUUAGCUAGUUGGUAAGGUAACGGCUUACCAAGGCAACGAUGCAUAGCCGACCUGAGAGGGUGAUCGGCCACACUGGAACUGAGACACGGUCCAGACUCCUACGGGAGGCAGCAGUAGGGAAUCUUCCGCAAUGGGCGAAAGCCUGACGGAGCAACGCCGCGUGAGUGAUGAAGGUCUUCGGAUCGUAAAACUCUGUUAUUAGGGAAGAACAUAUGUGUAAGUAACUGUGCACAUCUUGACGGUACCUAAUCAGAAAGCCACGGCUAACUACGUG
rnacentral:rRNA from 1 species